rnacentral:misc_RNA from 1 species
AAUAAAGUAGGCUUAUCUAUAUAUGCAUCAUAAUCGUUUCAAACAUGGAGAAUAGAGAAAAAAAAAAACUCAAGUGGACUACCAGGCAGCUUUUGCAAAGCCCACCCGAAGAUUACCAAAGUCAAAUACAGUGUGAUAUGCUCCCAAGAAGACAUCCCCAAGAAUCCAAAGGGGACCUUGUGGAGGAGGCACAUCCAAUGCAGUGAAACCACUCAGGCAGAUUGUAGCAUACUUCUGCUCCACUCUAACAACAUACUGUUCUGGAGACAGCGGAAAGGAUUUAUUUGCAAUGGUGAAUGAAACAUGUGGCAUGCCUGUGAUGUCAUUGCAAUCAAGGAAUGAUUUUCCCAUUGGAUCUGGAAGCCUCUCGCACAGCUCAUCCACAUAUUUGAAUAUUUUUUCUUUUGCUUUCUGUUGUUUAAGUUGUACUUGAAUCCAGAAAACAAUCAUCUCACAGAAAGUACAUAGGGCACUCUCAUCAACAGUUGAUUUAUUCACAACUUGAUCAUCUACCAAAGUCUCCAGAACAGUCCUAGAACCAUUAUUAUAUACACAAAGUCCAAUAUCCACACAUAUGAUUUCAGGCCGUAACCCAGAUAUUAAUGUUUCCCAUAUCAAAUUUCCAUAGUUAGAGACGACAGUUUUACAUUCUAAGCUCACAAUUCCUUGCGCACCAAUGGCAUGGUUAAUUUGAGUCACAAUAGUCUGAAAAUAGAAACUGGUAAGAGUAGCUCAAAAGAAAAAUUUAGAGGGAAAAAAAACUACAGUAGUUAAGAACAAGCAGAUCUUUAGGUAGAAAAAGUUUACAGUUGGACCAGCAAGAAAGGAGGUUCCUGAGUCCACAAUGGCAGCACAUCCGUAUUCACACAGUCCUAGGAAUUUCAAACAUUGGUUUAGAGAUUGUUAGCCUAUCUACAUCUAACAUGGGAACAUAAUUCUAGAAUUGCAUAUUCUACUCAAUGAGCAAAUAUUAGUUUAAACGUCCAGUUAAAUUUUAAAGAAGUGAAGUUGCAUUGAAAACACCUAAGACAAGAAUAACUUCGAACAAAUUUCUGUCAAUAUGAAGUUUGUCUUGCGUAAUACAAUCAGCCAGUCUUGAUUACAGAGCAUAGGGACCAUUCAUUGCGAGCAAAACAAAAAAAAAUGAAUCAUAGUUUUUAUAGACCUUGUGUGAUCUUCUGUAACAUUAUGUUUUGGAAUAAAAUUUCAUCUAAAAGUAACCAAAAGUAAGAUAUUUGUAGAUAAAUAUAAGCUAUAACUCAACAAUACUUUGUCAAUACACUAUAACAUCACCUGUUGAAUUGUUUGCAAUGAAUAUAUCUCCCACCUCAAUCUGCCAGUAACCCCUUUCAGUUACUGGGACAUAUGUAUGGUCACCUCUGAAGUGCCUCCAGUCAAGACCUCCAAAGACAAUCUCACCUCCCAAUCCUGCUGUUGGAUCGCGAUUUAGCCAAAGAGAGAAAAUUUUCUGGCUGACAUGACCCUGUUGUACCAUAUUAAACCACACUGGUGCAGCUUGCCCGACAGCAAUAUCCUGAAAACCAAGCCCAAGUAUCCCAUCAAACUGUGUACCUAAGAAUGCUAAAAAUCCUUGUCUUGUAACCUCGACAAACUCCUGAUCUCUAAUGGUACCAUCCCCAAGUUUGACAUGAUCUUGGCCGAAGAAACCAGAAAUGGAUCCAGAACCAUAGUGAAUUUUGCAAGGUACUCCAAUCUUGGUAUAAGUUCGGGACAUCCUUGCUCUGAACUUGGAAUGGAAAUAGCAAGUAAUAGACAAAACGCAUUUUGAAGAUGGAACCCAAAGAUUGGAGCUGCCAGUAUCAAAGACGACAGUGAAACUCUGUGGUGGUGAUCCAAUGGCAACCUCUCCAUAAUAUUGGGUAUCAAGAUAAUUCUUUAGGUAUACUAGAUCAGCUUUUGGCCUUUCGAAGCUAGCAUCAGUAUCUCCAAUACCCGUAUCAUAGGAAGUAUCAGCUCUAGUGAUCUUUGCAGCAUUAAUGCUGUAAAGGUCUAAACGCCGCUUCUUUAGACCAAUUUUCACUAGUCCAUUAGAGGAAGAUGUAAAAGCCCAGGAACCACCCAACCAUGCCCCUAAACAGACUGCAAAUAGAAGAAAUCUGAACCAGACUCUCAGAACAGUAACAGUAGGCUGGUUUGACAUGAUGAAGGAAGUUUCUGCAUAAAGUUUAUGGCAAUUUUAUAAAAUUUGGCCAAGGCUGAUAUGCAAAUGGCAGAAGAACAUUAAAGGGGUACAAGUGAAAAUAAAUAUUACGAGGCAAUUUCACUCAUUCCGCCUCUCUCUUAGUUAACCAAAAUUUCCGAUUGCUCAAGUAGAUGGUUAAUUGAAGAGCUUAAAGAAAAAGGCGUUAACGGGUACAUGGAAAAUGGUAAAAUAAUACAAACCUGCAUAAAAAGUUCCAGACUUCAUGAAGAAAGAAUAAGUUGGGUGAGUGAAGUUAUUGCCCGUUAAAAAGUACAAGACUUCAUUUGUCCACAACUCUGGGGACGGCCGUACCAUCUUGGGUUUCAUACACUUUGGUGGCUUCAUCCGUAGACGAAGCCACCGCGUUAUUUCCCCGGCUAGAACCUGUAUUUCAGCAUCUGCAAAGAGGCAUUCGUGAUCAUGGCCAUGGAAUGGGAUUAGGAUACAAACUUACCAAUCAGUAGUACUGCGACUGGCCUUUUUUUUUUUCCUUCAAGAAGAUGGGUUUUGUUAAUUAAUUACUGAGGAUGCUGU